AGAACGAACGCUGGCGGCAUGCCUAACACAUGCAAGUCGAACGAGACCUUCGGGUCUAGUGGCGCACGGGUGCGUAACGCGUGGGAAUCUGCCCUUGGGUUCGGAAUAACAGCGAGAAAUUGCUGCUAAUACCGGAUGAUGACGUAAGUCCAAAGAUUUAUCGCCCAAGGAUGAGCCCGCGUAGGAUUAGCUUGUUGGUGAGGUAAGAGCUCACCAAGGCGACGAUCCUUAGCUGGUCUGAGAGGAUGAUCAGCCACACUGGGACUGAGACACGGCCCAGACUCCUACGGGAGGCAGCAGUGGGGAAUAUUGGACAAUGGGCGAAAGCCUGAUCCAGCAAUGCCGCGUGAGUGAUGGAAGGCCUUAGGGUUAGUAAAGCUCUUUUACCCGGAUGAUAAUGACAGUACCGGAGAAUAGCUCCGGCUAACUCCGUGCCAGCAGCGC
rnacentral:rRNA from 1 species